UUUUUUUUUGCCAUUUCUUGGGCCGCUCCCACGGCAUAUGGAGGUUCCCCGGCUAGGGGUCUAAUUGGAGCUGUAGCCACUGGCCUACACCAGAACCAGAGCAACACAGGAUCCAAGCCGCGUCUGUGACCUACACCACAGCUCAUGGCAACGCUGGAUCGUUAACCCACUGAGCAAGGGCAGGGAUCGAACCCGCAACCUCAUGGUUCCUAGUUUGAUCCGGGCCUCGCUCAGUGGGUUAAGGAACUGGCAUUGCUGUGGGCUGUGGUGUACGUUGCAGAUGCGGCUCAGAUCCUGAGCUGCUGUGGCUGUGGCGUAGGCCGUUAGCUGUAGCUCCGAUCUGACCCCUAGCUGGGACCUUCCAUAUGUCGUGGAUGCGGCCCUGAAAAGCAAAAAAUAAUAAUAAUAGUAAUAAUAAAUGUUUACUAUUACACAGUGCUGUAGAGACUGGAAAACAGGCAUCUCUUACUGCCAUUGUGAGUAAGCUAGUAUAAUAUUCUUGGAGGAAAGUUUACCAAUAGUGAUCACCAAUUAAAAUACAUGCACCAUUUGACUCAACAAUUACACCACUAGAAAAGAGUACCACAUGUGCCCUAGCAGAGGUAUACCAGCACAAAACAGGAAGGAUGCUCACUGCAGCACUGCUUAAACCAGUAGAGACUGCAAAUAACCUAAAUAUCCACGAAUGAGUGGAGGAGUUAUGCUGUGUCUGUACAAUGGAAUACUACGCAGCCAUGAGGAAGGAUGGGGUAUAAGUGAGACCAGCUGAGUAAAGAACAGUGGGCUUUAGCAGUAUCCGUUUAUGUCCCUAAGAAACACACAGGCUUCUGUGGAUUAUGGAUUAUGCUUAAGUUGUUUUGGGGAGGAUACAUGUAAAACUGGUAACCAUUUCUAGCUUUAGACAGGAAUGGUUGGUCCCUCAAGUGAGAUAAGAAAUGCAGGAACAGAUCUUUGGGUGGAAUAUUGAGUCUGGUUUUUGACUGUUAAGUACAUUUGGCAAAAGGACUGAGUGGGACUCCAUAGAGAAAGGAAGACUGGUAUAACGUAUUUCAUAUUUUUUGAGUACUGUUUGAACUUUUAUAUACAUGAAUUACUCGUAUUUUAUAAAAAGUUGUACACAAAAUUAAAAUAUUAAGGAAAAAAAGAUACUGACAAGCAAAAGAUGAAUGCCUGAUACUAACUACUGCUUAACUCUAAUCAGUACAUCAACAUUUCUUCCUCAGACCUUUAUGCUUUAUGCAUCUGGGGAAGUUAUUUUUGAGAAAGCUCUAUGUAUUACUACAUAAUGGGCUAAGUCGUUAAUCUUGGUCAGAAAGAAGUCAUGAGCGUUCAGAGCAAGCCUACAGGCUUUCUGUGGAAAAGCACGGUAAAAAAGUGCCACGGUAUUCAAUUCCAGUUCAGUCCAUUCUCUUAUUCAAACUAGAUCCAGAUUCAACAAGGACCCACUGUGCACUCAAUGUGUGUCAGACCUUCUCAGGCAUAUUGCAAGACAGCAGGAACCAAGGGGCAGGCAGCUGGCUCUUCAGCCCUAGAUCUCCUUUUUGGGGGACAGGGGACCUCUAUUUCCUUUCCACACCAUCUUUUUCUGGCUUUUGAAAAUGGACAGAAGUAUAAUAAAAUUUCUCAAACAUUUAUUUUUCUCAUUUCUGUCGCUGUUUAGCACUUCUCAGCAUUUCUGGGAUUAGUGCAUUGAUUUCUCAGUGCGUGUUCAUCUCUCCUAACCUCUGUUCACGGUGACCUUCUCUUCCAUCCUGCCCUCUUAAACCCAAGCUAACAUUUACAAUUUCCUGGAUUUUCCCAGAACUCAGAGAGCAGACUGGUUACUCAGCCCCGCAUCUCUAAAGCUUAAAAUGAUUUAAGUGUUAAAUGUUCCCUUUUCUAGUUCACAUUGCAAUGAAGUACAAGCAGAAGUUCUAUAUCUGAAUUGGAAGCAUUUCUUUUGGCUCCUAAUGACAACUUCAGGAAAGAAUACCAGAACAGUUUAAAUUUAUUAUUACACUUGCUUCUUGAGAGUGCUGAGUAUGAAGGUGCACAGUGGUUUAGAAUCACUACAGCAUUUUAAAGCUUAAAGAACUAACCUCCACUCCCAUCCCAAUUNAAAAAAAAAAAAAAAAAAAAAAGACCCAGAAAACUUAAUGAAGCUGCCAGAAUCCACAUUUCUGGCCUCCUCUUCUGGAGCCUGCUCUAUGCUGUUGAUGUUUCAAACUACAACUCUUACAUCUUACAUACUGUUUUUCCACUUCAUAACUUUCAUAAUUGCAGUGUACACCCACCACCACAUGCCAGCCACAGUGACCCGCCUGUGUUCCUUGGACCAAGAAGCUCACUCCUGUUUCACAUCUUCACUAAAUAUUCCCUUUGCCUACAAUGCUCUUCCCUCUGGUAUAUGCAGGGCUGGCUCUUCCUGUCAGUCAGGGCUCAGUUUGGCUGACUCCACCUCAAAAAGGUCCUCCUUGACCACCCAGUCUGAAGCAGUCUUUCCUUAGUCAUUCUUUGCCACACUACUCUGUUUAUGUAUGUACCCAUUUAUAUUAUCCUAGUUAUCUUUAUUUUUUUGCCAUUUUAUUUAAUUAUUUAUUUGAUUAAUUUACUCAGGCUGCACCUGCAGCAUGUGGAAAUUCCUGGGCCAAGGACUGAACCUGAGCCACUGCAGUGACCCAAACCACAGCAAUGACAAUGCCAGAUCUGUAAGCUGCUGAGCCACCAGGCAACUCCCUGUGUGUUUUUAAAAAUCAUGAUGUGAAAUCAUCUUCUUUAGUUUUUGUUUUUUUGGCUGUGCCUAUAGCAUGUGGAAGUUCCUGGGCUAGGAACUGAAGCCCCUGCAGUGGCAAUGCUGGAUCCUUAACCCGCUGUGCCAAAGGGAAUGCCCUUAGUUGUUUAUCUCCUUAUUGUCUGUACCUCCCCACCUGAUUAUAAACUUCUUGAGAGUAGGGACUAAUCUGUCUUAUUUAUCACUAUAUGCCUUGUGCCUGAAACAGCAAAUAGCAGAGUGGGCAGUCAAACAUCUGUGGUGGCCUAGCAGUUAGGGAUCUGGCAUUGUCACUUCUACGGCUGGGGUUCAAUCCCUAGCCUAAGAACCUUAUACUUCUGGCAUGGCCAAAAAAAAAAAAAAAA
ensembl:lncRNA